rnacentral:lncRNA from 1 species
UUAUCAGAUAUGUAUUUUUAAAAUAUUAUCUUUCAUUCUGUGGAUUGUCUUUCAAUCUCUUGAUGGUAUCCUUUGAAGUGGAGGAGUUUUUAAUUUUAACAAAGCCAUGAUUUCUAUUUUUAUAGAAAUGAUUCUCUUUUUCUCUAAGAGUUUUUGUAGUUUUAUCUUUUACAGUAGGUCUGUAAUCCAUUUGAGUUAAAUUAUUUCUGUAUGGUGCAUUUUAUCUUUCUUCCCUUCCUCCCUCCCUCCCUUCCUCCCUUCCUUCCUUCCUUCCUUCCUUCCUUCCUUCCUUCCUUCCUUCCUUCCUUCCUUCCUUCCUUUUUAGUAGUACUGAGGAUAAAACCCAGGGCCUCAGGCAUGCUAGGCAAGUGCUCUAUUGUUAAGCCACAUCCCCAGUCCUGUGUGAUGCACUUUAAAUUUAAAUGUCAUAUCUAUUUAUUCCAACACCAUUUGUUGAGUAUAUUUGUUGUCUUUUAUCCAAAUUAAAUUGUUUUGAGACUCAUGUCAGAAAUCAAUUGAGCCUGGUACAGUGGCAUAUGCCUGUAAUCCCAGCAGCUCAGGAGGCUGAGGGAGGAGGAUUGCAAGUUCAAAGUGAGCCUCAGCAAUUUAUCAAGGACCUAAGCAACUUAAGAGACCCUGUCUUAAUAUAAAAAAUAAAAACAGCUGGGGAAGUGGCUCAGUGGUUGAGCAUGCCUGAAUUCAAUCUCCAAUAUAAAAAAAAUCAAUUGAAUAUGAAUGUCAGGGUUUAUUUGUGGACUCUAUAUGCCUUAUCUUUAUGCCAAUACCAUAAAUGUCCUUGAACCUAUAGCUUUGGGUUAAAUUCUAAAAUCAUUAAGUGUGAAUCCUCCAACUUUGUUUUUUAUAAUUGUUUUACUAUUUUGGUCCUUUGCAUUUCUAUAUAAAUUUUAUGAUUAACUUGUCAAUUCCACAAAAAAAAGUUAGCUGAGAUUUAAAAAAAAACAAACAAACAUUUUUUUUAGUUGUCAAUGGACCUUUAUUUUAUUUAUUUAUAUGUGGUGCUGGGAAUCAAACACCAGAACCUCACACAUGCUAGGCAAGCACUCUACCACUGAGCCACAACCUCAGCCUCAGCUGGAGAUUUUUGAUGAGGUAGCAUUGAACUUUGGUCAAUUUGGUGAAUAUUGUCAUCUUAGAAAUAUUAAGUCUUCAAAUCCAUAAGCAUGGGUUGUUUUUCCUUUUAUUUACAUUAUUAAUUUCUUUUAGUAAUGUUUUGCCAGUUUUCUUUCUUUCCUUCUUUUUAAUUUAGUUUUGUACCAGGGACUGAACCCAGGGGCAUUCAAUCACUGAGCCAUAUCCCUAGUCCUUUUUAUUUUUUAUUUUGAGACAGAGUCUUGCUAAAUUGCUGAAGCUAGCUUUGAAUUUGCAAUCCUCCUGCCCCAGCCUCUGGAGCUACUGGGAUUACAGGCAGGCACCACUGUGUCCGGUUAUUUUGUAGUUUUCAAAUUAUAAUCUUUGCACUUUUUUGUUAAUUUUAUUCCUAGAUAUUUGAUUCUUUUUGAUGUUCUUGUAAGUGAAAUUGUUUUCUUAAUUUCAUUUAUAGACUGUUCAUUUGAUAAUAUAUAAACAUAAAUAAAUUUGUUUUUGUAUAUUGAUUUUGUAUUCUGC